GCGCCCCAGGGUUCCACCGUUGUCUGGCGCUACCUGCAUCCUCAGGCAGUUGGAGGCACUCGUGCUCCUGAUCUGGCUCAUAGAGCCCGAACUAUCCCACUCUCCCCAGUACCCCAGUGUAUAAAGUGUAGGUGUUCACACAGCGAGAUGUCACAGCCCACAGGAACACUCUUUGGGAGGCCCCGCCAACGCCAUGCCGGCUCCAGUCCUUGGCUGGGAGACGUCACCCCAAGCAUCAGGGAAGCUCCAUGGACUUGGGCCUCUGGAACAGAGCAUGAUGGUGAGUAUGUGGGCCCUGAGGCCCUGGCCAGCAGACACCAUGCCCUGCUUCAUCUCACAUAUGCUCAUAAAGAGCGCCCCCACAACAGGAAAAGAAUCCCUGACCCAGAGGGACCUGGGCUGGCCUCUCCCCGGGUCCUGGGGAGGCAGGUUCGAAUUGAGCCCCCCCAGGGUCAGAACGCAGAUUGAUGGGUUGAACCCCCGGGGCCCUGACCAGUUCUGGAUUCUGCCCCAAGGCUCAGUGACCCUCUCAGAGCAGGAUAUGUCUUCCUUGGUUCUGAGUGAGCCCCACAGAUCCAGAUCACUGACCUAGGACAACACUGGGAAUUUCAGGACACCCCAGGGCAGGGGCAGUAGGGGCAUGCCGCUGGGCCACGUCCUCACCCACACUAGGAUGCAGGCUCCUCCACAUGCUGGUCUCUGGCAGUCAGUC